AAGUUCCAAUCAUUUAAUGUUAUAAUAUUAUCAUUUGUGGUACAAUUAUAUGUAUCAAAAUCACGAGUUUUUUAAUAGUGCUUUAACAUUUAAUCAUAGUGACAGAAAGGGGAAAGAAAACAUAAUUAACCUAUAAUUCGAAUCUAAAGUCACGUGGAUGGAAAUUCAAAUUCGUAGGCGUUACGUUUUUGGCUGUCGGUCAGGAAUCGGGAUGCAUUGAUAAAGUGAAUAUUAUAGAUUUUCUUGAACAAAAAGGUAGUUAAAGUGUUGGACAUGCUCUCAAAGGUCGGAGGGACGGAAACACGUGAAUAUGUAAAAAGAAACAUAGGAAAUGAAAAUGAUGUCACACACGCUAUUGGACGCUACAAACGCUACAUAUCCUCCGGACAGACGAGGGGUGCUGAAAGAAGCUCAUAUCUUAAAGCAUCACACCUCAAAAUUCGUGCUAAUUCUCAUGGAUAUCUAAAAGUAUAACUUUGUGAAGUAACUAAAAGGCAGCAAUUUAUACAUUACUGACAAUUAUCAAAGAAGGUCAAAAUAUGCAAAAUGGCACUAAAUGUUUUAGAAAUGCUGUAGAAAUAUACUUGAAAUACUGAAAAUCUGUCAUUAAUUGCUUGAAACAUUAUUAUCAGAAUCUUUUAACUUUUCUUAAAAUUAUGAUAUUUUCAUUAUUUUAUUUGAUAAGGCAAACUUUGAUAGAAAUGUGCAUACAUUGUUUUGUUCUUUAAUAUUUGUACAUGUUUUCUUAGUUUCAUUUAUGUCAUUGUUUUUGUAAUACUUUUUGUUUUGUAAUUAAUUUAUUUUAUGUUUUAUUUUGUUUAAUUUAUGAAAAUUAUUUAACCUUGCAGAAUUUACUAAAAUUGUAUGUAUCAGCUUAAAAUUGCAACUUUUAUUUUAAAUUAAAAAAGCAUAAAACAUAAUUUUGCUU